UAUCAACGCUGGCGGCGCGCUUAACACAUGCAAGUCGAACGAGAAAGGGGAGCAAUCCCUGAGUAAAGUGGCAGACGGGUGAGUAACACGUGGGUCAUCCACUCCUUGAUGGGGGAUAACCCUGGGAAACCGGGGCUAAUACCGCAUAAGUCCGAGAGGAGAAAGGCGAAAGUCGUCGAGGAAGGAGCCCGCGGCCGAUUAGCUAGUUGGUAGGGUAAUGGCCUACCAAGGCUUUGAUCGGUAGCCGGCCUGAGAGGGCACACGGCCACACUGGCACUGAGACACGGGCCAGACUCCUACGGGAGGCAGCAGUGGGGAAUCUUGCACAAUGGGGGAAACCCUGAUGCAGCGACGCCGCGUGAGCGAUGAAGCCCUUCGGGGUGUAAAGCUCUUUCGACAGGAACGAUUAUGACGGUACCUGGAGAAGAAGCUGCGGCUAACUACGUGCCAGCAGCCGCGGUAAUACGUAGGCAGCAAGCGUUGUUCGGNGUUACUGGGCGUAAAG
rnacentral:rRNA from 1 species